UACAGAGACUGCAAGCGUUAUUCGGAUUCACUGGGCGUAAAGGGUGCGCAGGUGGCUGAGUCAGUCGAUUGUGAAAGCCCUGGGCUUAACCUGGGAAUUGCAGUCGAUACUACUCAGCUAGAGUAUGGGAGAGGGUAGUGGAAUUCCCGGUGUAGCGGUGAAAUGCGUAGAUAUCGGGAGGAACAUCAGUGGCGAAGGCGGCUACCUGGCCCAAUACUGACACUCAGGUGCGACAGCGUGGGGAGCAAACAGG
rnacentral:rRNA from 1 species